rnacentral:misc_RNA from 1 species
GAUGAAGAACGUAGCGAAAUGCGAUACUUGGUGUGAAUUGCAGAAUCCCGUGAACCAUCGAGUCUUUGAACGCAAGUUGCGCCCGAAGCCACUAGGCCGAGGGCACGCCUGCCUGGGCGUCACACGCCGUUGCCCCCCCAUCUACUCCUUCGGGAUUGCGGGGGGGCGGAUGAUGGCCUCCCGUGCGCCUUGCCGCGCGGUUGGCAUAAAUACCAAGUCCUCGGCGACGCACGCCACGACAAUCGGUGGUUGCGAAACCUCGGUUGCCCGUCGUGUGCGUUCGUCGCGCAUCGAGGGCUCGAAAAAAUGCUCGGCUCCGGCUGGGCUUUCAACGCGACCCCAGGUCAGGCGGGGUUACCCGCUGAAUUUAAGCAUAUCAAUAAGCGGAGGA